rnacentral:lncRNA from 1 species
GGCCUCAGCUCGGCUUUCCUCUAGCUUGGGGCUUCCUGCAAGCUCAAUAUAGCUCAGCCAAGCCACGUGGACAGCAGCGGGCUGGGUGGAGGCCGGACCCGUCUGAGAGACGCCGGAGGAGGCAGCGCGGGAACAAUAUCACUGCCUCAAGAGAGGGAUCUGCGGGAACAGCUGGCGAGGCUAGGGAAGAACUCCCGAGAGGCUCGAAGCCCGUGGGGUCAACCCGAGGGACGAGGCGUUGGGCGUGCACCGAGAGGAUGUGGCUGGCGGUGCCCAGAAGAGCCCCAUUCAGGGUCGCAGUGGAGAGAGAGGGCGAUCAGGCAAAGCCACCGCUUUUUCUGAGGGCGUGGGACUCGAGGUGGGAUUUAGGUAGGCUUGGGGAGGGGCACCGCGGGGUUAGGGAUUGCGGUGUCUGUGCAGCCAGGACUGGGAGCCGCAGAGCAGGUCACUAUAAGCAUCCACAUCCCCGCCCUUCCCGUCUACUCCGCCGAGGGCCUUUCCUUUGCGGAUGGAUAGACAGCUUCGCAGACCAGCGCUAAGCAAAGGCUGAUAGUGGGAAUCAGAGUUAGAAAGGUCCCCAAGGCAGCCUGGGGAUGGGGAUUUGGUUUAGGUUAGGGUAGAAGUUUUUCUGUUUUAAUAGGGAAGUGAGGGUACGGAAUUUAACGUGUGUGGGUCGUAGAUCAUAAAUGGUGGAUUUAAAAGGCA